rnacentral:siRNA from 1 species
UGUCAUUGAUUUCACCUUGG